rnacentral:rRNA from 1 species
AGUGAACGCUGGCGGUAGGCCUAACACAUGCAAGUCGAACGGCAGCACAGUAAGAGCUUGCUCUUACGGGUGGCGAGUGGCGGACGGGUGAGGAAUACAUCGGAAUCUACUUUUUCGUGGGGGAUAACGUAGGGAAACUUACGCUAAUACCGCAUACGACCUACGGGUGAAAGCAGGGGAUCUUCGGACCUUGCGCGAUUGAAUGAGCCGAUGUCGGAUUAGCUGGUUGGCGGGGUAAAGGCCCACCAAGGCGACGAUCCGUAGCUGGUCUGAGAGGAUGAUCAGCCACACUGGAACUGAGACACGGUCCAGACUCCUACGGGAGGCAGCAGUGGGGAAUAUUGGACAAUGGGCGGAAGCCUGAUCCAGCCAUACCGCGUGGGUGAAGAAGGCCUUCGGGUUGUAAAGCCCUUUUGUUGGGAAAGAAAAGCAGCAGGUUAAUACCCCGCUGUUCUGACGGUACCCAAAGAAUAAGCACCGGCUAACUUCGUG